CGUAAUUACAAUGAUGAGAACAUAAAAUCGUGUCAUAAAUCGUGGAACAUUUUUCACUGAACUCGUCAAGUUGGACAAUAAUUACCCACCUUUGCCAAUAAAAAACGAUUUGUUUAUACUUACCUACCCUUUCUCUUGUCGCAGACUAACGAUUUCCUAUUCCUUCUGUCCUUCCCCGUGGACAUGCCUGUAGAUGUGGUGGGGGCCGCCAAUCAGGCCACGCCGGAGCUCCGAUCUAGCGGGAAGGAGUCCGUCCAAGGGCCGGCGGCGCACAUCGGCAUCGGCCUUCAUCUCGGUGCGGGCAUUGACGGCGCGGGAGUUCAACAAGGCGACGGCGCGGCUGCGAGCCUCCGACCGGCUGGGUGUGUCGGCGCAGCUGUGGCCUGUGAGCGUCGCUUCCUAUCAACGCGAUGCUCCACCCCGGCGCCGGUGGUGUGCCUGGAGGUCCGCGGCCGGCUGCUUCCAUGGCGGCAUGUACGCGGUUGUUGGGUGUGCUACCUUCGCUUGGUCGAGAAGCAAGUCUUCUGGGAAGAAAUUAG
rnacentral:misc_RNA from 1 species